UUUAUGAGGCAAAGAUUCAUUUUAUUCAUCUUUAUCUUAAAGAUAAUUACCAGUUACAUCCAAUAAGUUAUUUUUUCUUUUUUAACCUCUACUCAUCUUAUUAGAGUAAAAGCUUUGACAUAAUGGGCCUAGGCCUACACAUGGCCCGUAAAGGAUCCAUCUUACGCAUACCCAACCCAGUACUCUCAGACAUAUCCAUCUCUUCCCCUUUCACAUUCUCCCAUUCAAAGCAUUGAAUCAACGAUCCAAGCGCCAAUGUCACAAUCCUCUGACCUAAUCCGGCGCCGGGACAAGUUCUCCGGCCAUUCCCAAACGGCAUCAGCUUGUAAACAUAGUAAUCGCUUCCGCAUCCGUCAUUAUAUCGAUCUGGAUUAAACUUCUCUGGCUCCUCCCAAAUCUCUGGAUCUCUAUGUAUAGCCCAAGCGUUAACCAUCACUAUCGUAUCUCGCGGGACGUCGUAACCUCCGAUUUUCAUGUCGUCCGUCGGUGAUCGAGGGAUUAGAAACGGCGCCACCGGAAAUAGCCGGAAUGUUUCGGAGACGACGUUUUGGAGGUAAGGAAGCACUGCGAUGUCUGAUUCGUCGAUUAGUCGAUCUUUUCCGAUCUUCUCAUCGAUCUCCGAUCUCGCCUUCUCCAGUACUUCUGGAUUUCUCAGUAGAUUCGCCAUCGCCCACUCUAAUGUCACAGCGGAGGUCUCAGUUCCGGCGAGCAUCAUCGACUUCACAAUUUCAAAAACAAUCAGAUAAGAGCGGUUCUAGCUCGAUGUGAGUGAAAUCGUUGCUUUCGUUGGAGGUUUGUGUGUAACGUGAGAGGCGUGUGAGCAUCCGUAAGAUCUCGUCUUUGCGGAUGUGUUGGAAGUUGAUGAGACGGUGAGAGGAGAGAAUCUCUUGGGAGCAAAUGCGGCGGAGGUUACGCCAGUGGUCGCCGUAAGGAGCUGUACCAACGGUUGUGUGGUUGUAUGCGACGUAUUUGGCGGUGAGUUGGAGCGGCCGGCUGGAGAGAACGAUGUCGUUUUGGCCGGUGAAGGAUUCUUGGGCGAGAGAAGGGGAUGUUAUGACCACGACGCGUCGGGAGCCGAAACGGAGGGAAAAGAUUGGGCCGUAUUGGUUGGAGUAGCGUUGGAGGAGACGGUGGAUCGGCGGUUUCAUGAGGUGGAGAUGGCCGACGAAGGGUCGUGACGGUGGUCCUGGAGGAAGGUUGAAACGUUGCGUUUUGGAGUAGAGAAAUUUGUAACUUAUUACAAGAAAUAGAAGAGGGAGAAGGAUGAAGUAUAACAUUUUGUCUCUCUCUUCUAGUUUCAGGAUGUUUGUGUUUUUUUCUACUUGUGCGAGGAUUUGGCUUAUGGUUUGUUUGUUCUUUUAUUUAUAGAGAAAAUUUUACUCAAAUCAAAGUAGUGAUGUCAUAUCUGUAACGUGACAAUUAGUAGUGGAACUUGAAAGUUGUGCUUUUCGUUUUAAAAGACCAGAGGAAAAAAACAAAAAACAUCUUCUACGAUUUCGAGUUCUCCAUAUUAUGAUUAUCAUUUCUCUCAAAACUCCAUUAUUAA
rnacentral:lncRNA from 1 species